rnacentral:hammerhead_ribozyme from 1 species
AUCCAGCUGACGAGUCGCGAAUAGGACGAAACGCGCAUCCUAGAU